rnacentral:rRNA from 1 species
GGCGGCAGGCCUAACACAUGCAAGUCGAGCGGAAACGAGUUAUCUGAACCUUCGGGGAACGAUAACGGCGUCGAGCGGCGGACGGGUGAGUAAUGCCUAGGAAAUUGCCUUGAUGUGGGGGAUAACCAUUGGAAACGAUGGCUAAUACCGCAUGAUGCCUACGGGCCAAAGAGGGGGACCUUCGGGCCUCUCGCGUCAAGAUAUGCCUAGGUGGGAUUAGCUAGUUGGUGAGGUAAUGGCUCACCAAGGCGACGAUCCCUAGCUGGUCUGAGAGGAUGAUCAGCCACACUGGAACUGAGACACGGUCCAGACUCCUACGGGAGGCAGCAGUGGGGAAUAUUGCACAAUGGGCGCAAGCCUGAUGCAGCCAUGCCGCGUGUAUGAAGAAGGCCUUCGGGUUGUAAAGUACUUUCAGCAGUGAGGAAGGGGGUGUCGUUAAUAGCGGCAUUUCUUGACGUUAGCUGCAGAAGAAGCACCGGCUAACUCCGUGCCAGCAGCCGCGGUAAUACGGAGGGUGCGAGCGUUAAUCGGAAUUACUGGGCGUAAAGCGCAUGCAGGUGGUUUGUUAAGUCAGAUGUGAAAGCCCGGGGCUCAACCUCGGAACUGCAUUUGAAACUGGCAAACUAGAGUACUGUAGAGGGGGGUAGAAUUUCAGGUGUAGCGGUGAAAUGCGUAGAGAUCUGAAGGAAUACCAGUGGCGAAGGCGGCCCCCUGGACAGAUACUGACACUCAGAUGCGAAAGCGUGGGGAGCAAACAGGAUUAGAUACCCUGGUAGUCCACGCCGUAAACGAUGUCUACUUGGAGGUUGUGGCCUUGAGCCGUGGCUUUCGGAGCUAACGCGUUAAGUAGACCGCCUGGGGAGUACGGUCGCAAGAUUAAAACUCAAAUGAAUUGACGGGGGCCCGCACAAGCGGUGGAGCAUGUGGUUUAAUUCGAUGCAACGCGAAGAACCUUACCUACUCUUGACAU